rnacentral:rRNA from 1 species
AACGAACGCUGGCGGCAGGCUUAACACAUGCAAGUCGAACGCCCCUUUCGGGGUGAGUGGCAGACGGGUGAGUAACGCGUGGGAAUCUACCCUUCUCUACGGGAUAGCUCCGGGAAACUGGAAUUAAUACCGUAUACGUCCUGAGGGAGAAAGAUUUAUCGGGGAAGGAUGAGCCCGCGUUGGUUUAGCUAGUUGGUGGGGUAAAGGCCUACCAAGGCGACGAUCCAUAGCUGGUCUAAGAGGAUGAUCCGCCACAUUGGGACUGGGACACGGCCCAAACUCCUACGGGAGGCAGCAGUGGGGAAUAUUGGACAAUGGGCGCAAGCCUGAUCCAGCCAUGCCGCGUGAGUGAUGAAGGCCCUAGGGUUGUAAAGCUCUUUCAGUGGGGACGAUAAUGACGGUACCCACAGAAGAAGCCCCGGCUAACUUCGUG